GACGAACGCUGGCGGCGUGCUUAACACAUGCAAGUCGAACGGAAAGGCCCUGCUUUUGUGGGGUGCUCGAGUGACGAACGGGUGAGUAACACGUGAGUAACCUGCCCUUGACUUUGGGAUAACUUCAGGAAACUGGGGCUAAUACCGGAUAGGAGCUCCUGCUGCAUGGUGGGGGUUGGAAAGUUUCGGCGGUUGGGGAUGGACUCGCGGCUUAUCAGCUUGUUGGUGGGGUAGUGGCUUACCAAGGCUUUGACGGGUAGCCGGCCUGAGAGGGUGACCGGCCACAUGGGGACUGAGAUACGGCACAGACUCCUACCGGAGGCAGCAGUGGGGAAUAUUGCACAAUGGGCGGAAGCCUGAUGCAGCAACGCCGCGUGCGGGAUGACGGCCUUCGGGUUGUAAACCGCUUUCGCCGGUGACGAAGCGUGAGUGACGGUAAUGGGUAAAGAAGCACCGACUAACUACGUG
rnacentral:rRNA from 1 species